rnacentral:lncRNA from 1 species
CCGGCCCCCUGCUCCCUGUCUCUCGUCCGUCUCUCACUGUACUCAAGCUCGUCAUCCUCUAUCGCCGGUAUCUGUCUCUCUAUCCAAUCUCGUCUGUCCUGAGAAUGUGUAGUUGAAUAAGUUAUUUAGCACGAGAUUCUUUUAUUUAAUCUCUUGUUGAAACUUGAAACAAACACGAGCACAAGUUUUACCUCUCCUCACUUAUUGUUUAGUCCUUUUCUUUGGAUUUACAUUCUGAUCAUGUUUUUGGAUAGAUGGUUCUUUCUUUCUUUCUUUCUAAUGAUUUUUAAUUGCCAUUUGAGUUGCAUUGAACAGUGAUGAAGCCUGUUAGCAUGCAUGGACAUAAACACAACCCAGUAGCUCCCUGUUAAUCCUCUCCCAUUUGCUAGAAGGUACUGUUUUCUUGAUUUCUUCUUCUCCAGUGUUUGGUUGCUUAGAGAAUGCCUUCAAAAAGAAAGAAAAAAUAGAACUUUCUUUUGCCUUUUUUUCCUCGAACAAUCAACAGGUCACUAAUUAUUCUUUUGUUUAUGUAAUCUUGUGUUUUCUACACAUGGAUUUUGUUGUUUUUCUAUGUUGGGAUAGUAUUUUUUUCCGUCAUCAACUGUAGGCUUUGGAAAAGGUGCUAAAGUAGAACACAAUUGUGUGUUUUGGAGACUGAUUCUAGCAAGACUUUGAUUACCACCAUACUACAGCGCAGUUAUGCCUAUCUUCUUCGCAAGCCUUCAUGUUGCCAAGCAUGGCAGAUUAAGCUCCUUUCUUUUCUGCAUGUGUCUAUAUUAAGCCAAGCAUUGAAUGUUAAAAAAUUGAGCCUUUUCUUUUCUUCUCUGGGUAUGAAUUAUUGCUGUAGAUUUUUAUUGUAAACAUGGGUUACUUGAAGAAGCUGAGCAACUGUUUGAUAAAAUGACUCUUGAGAG